UGGGGAAUAUUGGACAAUGGGCGAAAGCCUGAUCCAGCCAUGCCGCGUGAGUGACGAAGGCCUUAGGGUUGUAAAACUCUUUCGUCGGGGACGAUAAUGACGGUACCCGAAGAAGAAGCUCCGGCUAACUUCGUGCCAGCAGCCGCGGUAAUACGAAGGGAGCUAGCGUUGUUCGGAAUCACUGGGCGUAAAGCGCACGUAGGCGGAUAGUUAAGUCAGGGGUGAAAUCCUGGGGCUCAACCCCAGAACUGCCUUUGAUACUGGCUGUCUCGAGGUCGAGAGAGGUUGGUGGAAUUCCUAGUGUAGAGGUGAAAUUCGUAGAUAUUAGGAAGAACACCAGUGGCGAAGGCGGCCAACUGGCUCGAUACUGACGCUGAGGUGCGAAAGCCAGGGGAGCAAACGGGAUUAGAUACCCCGGUAGUCCCUGAGCGGGCUGGCAAGGCGCAU
rnacentral:rRNA from 1 species